GGGAGGAAAGCCCUCGGUCCCCUCGGCUCCGGGGGCGCCCGGCUGGGCCCAGCUCCGCGGGCGCGCCCCCGUCACCCCCUCCCAGGCCAGUUCAGGGCAGCGCCAAGGGGCCGCCGGCUCAGGCUGAGGCCUCCUCCUGCCUAGGCGUCUGGCGUCCGUUUGUCUGUCCGAGGCCUCAGCGCAGGUAAAGCGCGGGGCUGGGGGGCGCAGAGCUCCAUUGGGCUGGGAACCAGCGCGUCUCGUGCCCUUGGGGGACCUGCCUGCCCGAGCCGCCUGCUAAGCCUCCCGCUCCCCUCCACGCUGGAGCGCGCGGAGCCCGGUCUGCUCGGAACUCCACUCUGCGGGAGCGGAGGCCGGCGCCAGCCCGGGAAGCCGCGCAGGGGGCGGGAGGCCGAGCGCGAGGCCCUUGGCGCCGGGCCUCCGCGUCCAGGCCGGGCAGGUGAGCAGUCUCCGUGCCUCCCGGUUGGCGUUCCCCUCAACGCGUGCGGUCCCGCCGGGGCCCACUGUCUCUCCGUCCGUCUGUCUCUCAACUUUUCCCAUCCUUUAGCUUACGAUUCUUCAUCAACUCGUAAAAUGAGAUCGCCGCGGAGCUCGAGCCUAUUUGGCGUCUCCGGAGACUAGCAAGACCCUCUGAAAGACACCGCGUCCCCAGGGAUAAUCCCCCGUGUCCGGCAAAGCUGCCCCGCUCGAGCGCGAACCCUGGGACCCAGCGCGGGAGGCAGACCAGCAGCUGGCCGCUGGGCUGUGAACGCCAGGACCGAGCGGAAGCUUCCCGCCCGGCCGCGAUCGGUGCCGCGGCUCUCAGGGAAGUGGCUACGCGCGGCCCUCGGGAAAGCAGAGUAAUUUGCCUGUUUCUGGCAAAUCUGAAGAUUGGAAUGCCACACGGCCCAGCCAUUCCUUUUCCAGGCAUAUGAGAAGCCCUCACACAUGAGCAAGAAAGAGAUGUGGCCAAAGACAUUCAUGGAGCCCUGUUUGUUAAAACAGAGAAAAAGAAAUUAAGAAAUACCCAGCCUGGGCAACAUAGGGAGACCCUGUCUCUACUAAAAAUAAAAAUUUAUACUUGGGAGGCUAAGGCGGGAGGAUCACUUGAGCUCAGAAGAUCGAAGCUUACAAUCAGCUGUGAUCGUGUCACUGCAUGCCAGCUUGGGUGACAGAGAGUGAGACCCUGUAUCAAGAAAGAAAGAAAGAAAGAAAGAAAACAGAAAUAAACUUAGGGCACAGCAGACGGCCCAUCCUGAGGGUACCACAUAGCAGAUGCUGGCACCUUUUUCAGGUGGACGCCACAUGACCUUUCCUUUGCAGGCAUCCAUGCUGAUGUUCACAAGGCACACAGCAUUUCAGCUGAAGAAAGAACUGAAAGGAUUUUCAUCACGAAAGGGCACUGUCUAUCGUUUAUGAAAAUGAAGCAUAUGAAGUAAAAGUUUGGAAGCAGAUGGAAUUAAAUCUUCUGACAGAUUUUAAAAUAAGAUCUAAAAAAGAGCAAGACAUGCUCUUGGAUGGGGAAACAAUACCAGAAAAAUGUCAAUUUUCCCAUUUUUUCCAUAUAAAUUUAAUGUAAUUCAAAUUCCAUUACCA
rnacentral:antisense_RNA from 1 species